rnacentral:piRNA from 1 species
UGAGACCUGCCCGGUGUACUCUGGGUGCA